rnacentral:rRNA from 1 species
GAUGAACGCUGGCGGCGUGCCUAAUACAUGCAAGUCGAGCGAACAGACGAGGAGCUUGCUCCUCUGACGUUAGCGGCGGACGGGUGAGUAACACGUGGAUAACCUACCUAUAAGACUGGGAUAACUUCGGGAAACCGGAGCUAAUACCGGAUAAUAUAUUGAACCGCAUGGUUCAAUAGUUAAAGACGGUUUUGCUGUCACUUAUAGAUGGAUCCGCGCCGCAUUAGCUAGUUGGUAAGGUAACGGCUUACCAAGGCAACGAUGCGUAGCCGACCUGAGAGGGUGAUCGGCCACACUGGAACUGAGACACGGUCCAGACUCCUACGGGAGGCAGCAGUAGGGAAUCUUCCGCAAUGGGCGAAAGCAUGACGGAGCAAAGCCGCGUGAGUGAUGAAGGUCUUCGGAUCGUAAAACUCUGUUAUUAGGGAAGAACAAAUGUGUAAGUAACUAUGCACGUCUUGACGGUAACUAAUCAGAAAGCAACGGCUAACUACGUG